rnacentral:rRNA from 1 species
UGGGGAAUAUUGCACAAUAGGCGCAAGCCUGAUGCAGCCAUGCCGCGUGUGUGAAGAAGGCCUUCGGGUUGUAAAGCACUUUCAGCGGGGAGGAAGGCGAUAAGGUUAAUAACCUCAUCGAUUGACGUUACCCGCAGAAGAAGCACCGGCUAACUCCGUGCCAGCAGCCGCGGUAAUACGGAGGGUGCAAGCGUUAAUCGGAAUUACUGGGCGUAAAGCGCACGCAGGCGGUCUGUCAAGUCGGAUGUGAAAUCCCCGGGCUCAACCUGGGAACUGCAUUCGAAACUGGCAGGCUAGAGUCUUGUAGAGGGGGGUAGAAUUCCAGGUGUAGCGGUGAAAUGCGUAGAGAUCUGGAGGAAUACCGGUGGCGAAGGCGGCCCCCUGGACAAAGACUGACGCUCAGGUGCGAAAGCGUGGGGAGCAAACAGG